GUCAAAUUUCCAAUAAAAUCACUAAGAACAAAGAAGCGUUGUAAAAGAAAAGGAACGGUGGCGGCGUGGCCCAACGUCCUUCUUUACUCUUCCUCUCUCCCUGUUGUGCUUCCAAGCUUCAGUCUCCUCUCGCCGGUGCAUUGUACACCAUCUUCUUCAACUCCGGCAACCAAUCCAUUCGACGUUAGAAUUCUUUCUCGGCUAGUGAGUUUCAGUUUUUUAACGGCAGAAUUCUUUUACGAGGACCACACGCCGAUCUGCGACGGCAGCGGGAACUGUCUCGGUGAAUGCGAUGCGUUUCUUGGCUGACUAACGACCUUUGGCCGUGACCCACUCGUACGUCCUCAAAUUUGAUUACCCUUUGAGUAUCCUGAUUUGCUAGCAGGAAGGACUGGAGCCCUUUUUUGGUAAGAUGUCACUGAUGGAAGCAGCAAUGGCAUUUGAUCCAAUUUUAGAUUACUCCAAAACCCACCGAAUAAUCCUCCUUGUUGAUCUCAACCCACUUCUCCAUAUCCAAAGCCCAUCUUCAUAUCUCAUUGCCAUCACUUCCACUGCCAAAAUUCUACUAUCUUUUCUGCCAUUUUCAUCCUCAACUCUCUUCUCCUUCAGAUUCUUCUUCUCAUCUCUCUCCCCUCUCCUUUCCUCCUCCAAACUCCGCAAUUUGAUUCCCAGUUGCCCUCUCUCUCUCCCCUUUGACCACCCAACUGUGACUUUCGAUUCUCUCUCAAAUGCCAUUGAUUUAUUGUUGAAACUUCAUCAAUUUCCAUUGUGUGAGGCUUCUGAACUGAUGGCCUCACAGGCUUCAUGGCUUGCGGCGUCAAUGCGUCAACUUUUGCAUGACUAUACUUGGAACUCUGUGAUAGAAGAUUUGGAAUCGGCCUCUGAAAGUUUUGAUUGCCUUGGUGUGAGGAAAAAUUUGGUUGUUUUAUUUUCACCGUUUUCUGAAUUGGUUGGAUGUUUGCCUGAAUUUCUUGGAGUGGCUGUGGAUGAUGAAUGCGUUAAAGAUCAAGAUUUGUUUAGUAGAAGAUUCCAUGAGUUGUUUGAAGGUGUGAAUACUGCAUUUUCACAGAGCGAUAUUCAAUUUAGUUGGAUUAAUGUUAGCCACGAGUCUACUGAGAAUAGGAUGAAUAACGAUGAGCUGAAAGAGAAAUAUAGUUUUUUAAAGAGUGGUAUUAGAAAUUUAGGAUGGGGAUUUUGCUCGAUGAACUCCAUAGUUUUGGGAUCUGCUCUUCUUCCUUUUGGGUUGAUUUACCCUAAGAUAGGGUUACCUUUGAGAAAUCUUGACAUUUAUAAGUUUCAGAAGAAAGUACAAGCUCGAUUGUGCCUUGAGAUUUUGGAUAGAAGCGAGAAGCCACUAGAAUGCAAGUUUUGCAAUCUUGAAUUGUUUGAAUGGAAGACAUUGCCUGAAAACAGAUGUAAUGAUCGUUUGCUUGUACCAGGAGGAUUGAAAAUGAGAUCAGAUGGCUAUGUGCAAAGGAAAGUAUCUUUGGAAUUGCUUGGUGAUGGUGGUGUAAAGCUAAAUGUUAAGGCUGUGCAGAAGUGUAGGGAAUUAGUGAGUGACAAGGUUCAUUUAUCUUAUCCAUUUCUUGUGCUUGAAUCUUCAGAAACGCCGCUGAAGAUCAUCCAGGGAAGUAAUGGAAAAUUUUUUGCUGAUGAGGUUUUGGAAAUGAUGGCACUUGAACUGGAUGAGUGUAAAAUGCCAAAACCUAUUCCUUUUUUUGAGCUUCUAAUGAGUUUUCUUUAUGAGGAAGGUUAUUGGGCAUUAGUGUCUAUUUCGAAUGCCAAUGGUGGUUCACAUUUAGGAAUCUUAAAACCUUUUAUGGUUUCUUCAGCCCUUCUCUUUGUCAUUGACAAGGAAUUUUACCCUUUCAUGUUGGACCCUAAUAAUGAGGACAUGUGUUUGGAAGAAAUGGGGACUGCAGAAGGUAACAAUACUUGCAAACCUGGUGGUGAUUUGAACAAAUCAUGCAAUAUGGUUGAUUUUGAUGCUUCUCUUUCUGUUAAGUGUUCUCAAGAUGGAGAUGGUAAAAUGAAAGCAGUCAAGAAGUCUAGACAAUCAAUCCAAAACUUCACUUGGGCAGAUUUUUGCAAGGUAGCAUAUGAACACGGGAAGAUUGAUCUUGAAAAUGCUUACUUUGGCAGAUAUUGUAAUAGCUCAAAGAAAUUGAAAUUUUUCAAAAGCUGGGUAAAACAAAUUAGGAAAUCCACUUUAUGUGGGCUUUUGUUACCGGAGAAGUUGCAAUUAAAGCAGGACAGUCUCAUUAAAAAAGAUGAUGGAUUAGUACAGUUGCAAGAAGAAAGUAAAGAACCAGCAACAUCAUCGGGUCAAGAAAAUUCCUUGGCUAAGGCCUCUGAAACAUUGGCUGAAGCAACCAUUGACCACCAUUUGGAGACUUGUGAUGAUUUUUUCAAUAAUCUUUCCAAUAAGAUCCAGCAAGGACUCGAAUCCGAAGUUGUUGACUUGGGUGCUUUGGCGGAGCGACUUGUGAGUUCAGCUAUAUACUGGUUAAGUGAAAAGCAUGAAGUGCAAGGGGGAACAUCAGAUGAUCAACCAAUUGCCAGAAAGUUUGAUUCAAGUAUCAGUUGCUCAGUUGCUACAAAACUAAAUAAACUCUUGCUGAGGGAGCCUGAAGACUUGGCUACCAAGCCCAAGAUCCAUGGCCUCUCCUUUGAUGAGAGUAGUCUAGGAUCUGCUGGACAAACCUCAGAACACAUAGUUAGAGAACACGAAUUGCAGAUCUUUUUUCGAAUGGAGAUAUUACGGUCGCUGAUUAUUCUCAACAUUAGUGAAUCUAUGAAGCAAAAGUUUGUCAAAGAUAUUUGUUUGCUUUUAGAGACAAUUCAAUGCCAUUUGGAGGGAGGGUUUUUUGGAGACUGGAGCAUAAAAAAUUAUGUUGGAAAAAUCAUAAAGAGCAGGUACGGCCAAAGUCUUGGAGAGGUUGUGCAUAGGAUCUAUGAAAAAAUGGAUUUGUUAUUGUUUGUUGAUGAGAAUAAAUCUACCAAUCACCCUCUCUUCAGUGAGGAUAGCAAUAAUUCUUGGAGAGGCAACUUACUUAGUGAUGAAGUUGGUGACAACUAUAGCUCCAACGAUCCAGUUUCUGUAGAAAACAAAGCCCAUCAAAAUGACAAUGAAAAAUUUCCAGGGCUCAAUAAUGUCUACACUAGCAAACUGAUCAAAGCUCAAGAAAUGAGAGAAAGGGCCAGAAGAUUUGGAUCUUUCACGAGUUGGGCACCAGAUUUGCACCGAGUUUGGGCGCCAAAACAAACGAAGGCAAGGAAACCUAGGACGAAUCAUCUUAAAACAGCAUCAAAGAGGAAGUACUCAAAUAGGGAAAGCAAUGACCUGGUUUGUGAGACCCCAGAAAAAAGUCAGUCAUUCCAAAGAGAGAACCGAGAUGGUGAUGGAAAUCAGUCAUGUCGUUCUGUUUCCAAGGCGUUGUUUACUGACAUAGAUUCAUAGCUUUCAACAAUAAUCAGUUCAUCUGUAGAUUUACUUGUAACUCUCCUCUUGUAAAUAGUAAAUAGUGAAGUUCAACCAACCAACUUUGACGAAGCCGUGUAUUUGCUUGGACUCUUUACUUGAUCCAACUGGUUACAAUGGAGCAAAACAGGGAAGAAGAGUUAAAGACGUUUAAGAGCUUGGGAACAUGUGAGCAAUUGGUGGAGGCAUGCUGGAGUUCAGACUGGAAACCUCAUGGCGCAGAAGGUUCUUUCUACAGCUUGUACAUUUACUUAAUUCAUUUCUUCCAUUCAACUAUUCUUUUUAUUCAACCAGUGGCAAAGAUAAAUUUUGUUCUCAUUGCUUUUAAUAUUGGUGUUGAAUGAAAAUUACACAUCUUUCUGUAUAAAUAUUAGGUAAGGUUUCAAGAUGCACUCUGGCACUCAUUUAUGAAAAGGCACAAACAUUGAAGCAUUCCCAUUACUUUGACGUUUGUGUCUUUUAGCUACCGUGAAUAUAUUCAAGUUGACACAUGCACUCGCCUUGACAAGAAAUGUCAAAAGAAAGUUGAAUGAAGAGGAAGAAUAGAUGAAAAAGAAUGGUUGGAAGAGAAAAAAGAAUGGUUUGGCCUAUUGUGAGUCUUGGUCAUUGAACUUUCAAUUUUGUUAUAGGUAUGCAAUUUCGUUUUAUUUUUGCAACAGAUUCAGGCGAAUAUGAUUUUCUAAUUUGAAACACAGAAAUCAACAAUGACCAUUUCUUGUACCGAAGGUGUGUAGUGUGAAAUGUGUAAGAUCUCAAGGUCUUCGUUUCCCUUAGUUUCAUCAAAUUUGCAUAACAUAGUCCCUUGUGGGAUUUGACCCAA